GAUGAACGCUGGCGGCGUGCCUAAUACAUGCAAGUCGAGCGAACGGACGAGAAGCUUGCUUCUCUGAUGUUAGCGGCGGACGGGUGAGUAACACGUGGAUAACCUACCUAUAAGACUGGGAUAACUUCGGGAAACCGGAGCUAAUACCGGAUAAUAUUUUGAACCGCAUGAUUCAAAAGUGAAAGACGGUCUUGCUGUCACUUAUAGAUGGAUCCGCGCUGCAUUAGCUAGUUGGCAAGGUAACGGCUUACCAAGGCAACGAUGCAUAGCCGACCUGAGAGGGUGAUCGGCCACACUGGAACUGAGACACGGUCCUGACUCCUACGGGAGGCAGCAGUAGGGAAUCUUCCGCAAUGGGCGAAAGCCUGACGGAGCAACGCCGCGUGAGUGAUGAAGGUCUUCGGAUCGUAAAACUCUGUUAUUAGGGAAGAACAUAUGUGUAAGUAACUGUGCACAUCUUGACGGUACCUAAUCAGAAAGCCACGGCUAACUACGUG
rnacentral:rRNA from 1 species